rnacentral:rRNA from 1 species
GGUAAUGGCUCACCAAGGCGUCGACGGGUAGCCGGCCUGAGAGGGUGACCGGCCACACUGGGACUGAGACACGGCCCAGACUCCUACGGGAGGCAGCAGUGGGGAAUAUUGCACAAUGGGCGGAAGCCUGAUGCAGCAACGCCGCGUGAGGGAUGACGGCCUUCGGGUUGUAAACCUCUUUUAGCAGGGAAGAAGCGAGAGUGACGGUACCUGCAGAAAAAGCGCCGGCUAACUACGUGCCAGCAGCCGCGGUAAUACGUAGGGCGCAAGCGUUAUCCGGAAUUAUUGGGCGUAAAGAGCUCGUAGGCGGUUUGUCGCGUCUGCUGUGAAAUCCCGAGGCUCAACCUCGGGCCUGCAGUGGGUACGGGCAGACUAGAGUGCGGUAGGGGAGAUUGGAAUUCCUGGUGUAGCGGUGGAAUGCGCAGAUAUCAGGAGGAACACCGAUGGCGAAGGCAGAUCUCUGGGCCGUAACUGACGCUGAGGAGCGAAAGGGUGGGGAG